rnacentral:sRNA from 1 species
CACUUCCCAAAAACACGAUGUGAAGGUUUAAACAAAACACCUCACCCCAUCCCCACGCCCAAACCCAAAAACUAUGUAGCAACACACUCCCCGACCACCCAAACCCCAGCAGGAGCCGGGCAUUGUGGAAGCAGCGAGUCUCAGCCUCCCUGGAGCCCUCAUUUGAAGCCCAUCUAAAAUGACACACAUCUCCCCAUCUAAAAUGACACACACUUUUUUUUUCAAGAGUACUGCCUUUUGUUCUAGCAUCUUUCCACGAGAAUUUUAUGAUCCUCUCUGCCCCCACCCCCACAGUUCCACAGGGGCACCCUUUGUCCAGGAGGGCGAGGGUCCCAGCAUUAGGGAGAGUCUGGACACAGCCCUCAGCCUCCUCCUCCCUCCGAUUUCCUCCUCCCAGAGCCCCCAGCCGGCUUCGAAGGGCUUCAGGCGGAGGAGUGCGGCAUCCUGAACGGCUGUGAGAAUGGCCGCUGUGUGCGCGUGCGGGAGGGCUACACCUGUGACUGUUUUGAGGGCUUCCAGCUGGAUGCGGCCCACAUGGCCUGCGUAGAUGUGAAUGAGUGUGAUGACUUGAACGGGCCUGCUGUGCUCUGUGUCCAUGGUUACUGCGAGAACACAGAGGGCUCCUACCGCUGCCACUGCUCCCCGGGAUAUGUGGCUGAGGCAGGGCCCCCCCACUGCACUGCCAAGGAGUAGCAGUCAGGGGUCAGUGUGGCAACUACCUGGAAAUGGCCUCCAGUCACAGGCAGGGGCCUUGAGGAUGAUUUCCUAGCUGGGAAGACACCGUGACAUCAGGCCAGAGGUUCCCAAUCAGCCUUGCCUGCUUUCAUCUCUCCCAGCUUAGCCUCUGGCUGUAAGCUUCGGUCAUUGCCUCC